rnacentral:rRNA from 1 species
CCCGCUGAACUUAAGCAUAUCAAUAAGCGGAGGAAAAGAAACUAACAAGGAUUCCUCUAGUAGCGGCGAGCGAAGCGGGAAGAGCUCAAAUUUAAAAUCUAGCGUCCUCAGGGCGUUCGAGUUGUAAUCUACAGACGCGUUUUCUGCGCUGGACUGUGUCCAAGUCCCUUGGAACAGGGCGUCAUAGAGGGUGAGAAUCCCGUCUUUGACACGGACUACCAAUGCUUUGUGAUGCGCUCUCAAAGAGUCGAGUUGUUUGGGAAUGCAGCUCAAAAUGGGUGGUAAAUUCCAUCUAAAGCUAAAUAUAGGCGAGAGACCGAUAGCGAACAAGUACCGUGAGGGAAAGAUGAAAAGCACUUUGGAAAGAGAGUUAAACAGUACGUGAAAUUGCUGAAAGGGAAACGCUUGAAGUCAGUCGUGUCUGCCAGGACUCAGCCUUGCUUCUGCUUGGUGUACUUUCUGGUCGGAUGGGCCAACAUCAAUUUCAACCGUUGGAGAAAGGCUUUGGGAAUGUGGCACCCUUGGGUGUGUUAUAGCCCUUUGUUGUAUACAACGGUUGGGAUUGAGGACUGCAGCACGCCUUUAUGGCCGGGGGUUUACCCACGUACGUGCUUAGGAUGUUGGCAUAAUGGCUUUAAGCGACCCGUCUUGAAACACGG